CACACAGUAAACGAUAAUCACUAGGUGUCGGUUUCGUAUAGGAUUCGGUGCCGUAGCUAACGCGUUAAGUGAUUCGCCUGGGGAGUACGAUCGCAAGGUUGAAACUCAAAGGAAUUGACGGGGGCCCGCACAAGCGGUGGAGCAUGUGGUUUAAUUCGAGGCAACGCGAAGAACCGUACCCGGGGUUGACAUCUGUGGUAACCUGCAGAGAUGUGGGUGUGCCGGUUUACCGGAGCCACAAGACAGGUGC
rnacentral:rRNA from 1 species